rnacentral:sRNA from 1 species
ACAUGAAGACGUACCGUAGACAGUAGGAGCUUAUGGCUUAAUAUUUCCUACCGAGGAACAAUAUACUUUUGAAAUAAAAUUUCAAAGGGUUCCUACGGUUUGUAGGAACCUUUUCUUAU